rnacentral:rRNA from 1 species
CUGGCUCAGGACGAACGCUGGCGGCGUGCCUAAUACAUGCAAGUCGAGCGGAGUUUAUCGGGAGCUUGCUCCUGAUAAACUUAGCGGCGGACGGGUGAGUAACACGUAGGCAACCUGCCCGUAAGACUGGGAUAACUACCGGAAACGGUAGCUAAUACCGGAUACGCAAGUCUCUCGCAUGAGGGACUUGGGAAAGGCGGAGCAAUCUGUCACUUACGGAUGGGCCUGCGGCGCAUUAGCUAGUUGGUGGGG